rnacentral:rRNA from 1 species
GAUGAACGCUGGCGGCGUGCCUAAUACAUGCAAGUCGAGCGAACGGACGAGACUCUUGCUUCUCUGAUGUUUGCGGCGGACGGGUGAGUCACACGUGGAUCACCUACCUAUAAGACUGGGAUAACCUCGGGAAACCGGCGCUAAUCCCGGAUAAUAUUUUGCACCGCAUGGUUCAAAGGUGAAAGACGGUCUUGCUGUCACUUAUCGAUGCAUCCGCGCUGCAUUAGCUAGUUGGUAAGGUAACGGCUUACCAAGGCAACGAGGCAUAGCCGACGGGAGGGGGUGAUAGGCCGCAUUGGAGCGUGAACGCGGUCCAGACGCCUGCGGGAGGGAGCAGAAGGGAACCUGCCGCAAUGGGCGAAAGCCUUGCGCAGCAGCGGCGAGUGAGUUAUGGAAGUCUUCGGAUCGUAAUACUGUGUUAUUAGUGAAGAACAUAUUUGGAAGGUACCGUGCAGUGCGUGACGGUACCGGGUCAGAAAGCCACGGCUAACUACGUG